UAUUUCAGUAAAAAAAGUAAAAAAUGUAAGUCAAAUGUUGACUUACAUUUUUUACUUUUCUUCCUGAGGGA